rnacentral:rRNA from 1 species
UACGUAGGGUGCAAGCGUUGUCCGGAAUUAUUGGGCGUAAAGAGCUCGUAGGCGGUCUGUCGCGUCUGCUGUGAAAACUCGGGGCUUAACCCCGGGCCUGCAGUGGGUACGGGCAGACUAGAGUGCGGUAGGGGAGACUGGAAUUCCUGGUGUAGCGGUGAAAUGCGCAGAUAUCAGGAGGAACACCGGUGGCGAAGGCGGGUCUCUGGGCCGUAACUGACACUCAGGGACGAAAGCUAGGGGAGCGAAUGGG